rnacentral:rRNA from 1 species
UGGGGAAUAUUGCACAAUGGGGGAAACCCUGAUGCAGCGACGCCGCGUGAGCGAAGAAGGCUUUCGAGUCGUAAAGCUCUGUCCUAUGAGAAGAUAAUGACGGUAUCAUAGGAGGAAGCCCUGGCUAAAUACGUACCAGCAGCCGCGGUAAUACGUAUGGGGCGAGCGUUGUCCGGAAUUAUUGGGCGUAAAGGGUACGUAGGCGGUUUUUUAAGUCAGGUGUCAAAGCGUGGAGCUUAACUCCAUUAAGCACUUGAAACUGAAAGACUUGAGUGAAGGAGAGGAAAGUGGAAUUCCUAGUGUAGCGGUGAAAUGCGUAGAUAUUAGGAGGAAUACCGGUGGCGAAGGCGACUUUCUGGACUUUUACUGACGCUCAGGUACGAAAGCGUGGGGAGCAAACAGG